rnacentral:lncRNA from 1 species
AGACCAAUCGAAUAGUCAAAUUAUAGAUUUUUAAAUUAACCGCUUCAAAAAAAUAUUAACGGUUACAACUUAAAAACAACCAAUACAGAAAACCAAUAAUAAUGGAUGUCAUCUAGCCUUUGCUUCCCAUGACAAUUUCAAAGUAAACCCAAACAAACAGAAGCUUCUUUGCCUACUGUCUACUUUCCUUUUACAUCUUCAAAAAUGAAAAGCAUAAGCACCAUUGCAUCUCUGUCUGUUUAUCUUCUUGUACUUUAUUCAUCAAGAUCUCAGUCGUCUCUUCUACCCAAAUUCAUUUACCAGAUGUUUCCCACCCUUGUACUCUUCUUUUCACCCCUUAACAACC